GGGAAGCAGCAUCACAGACAGACUUUAUACAGGCCAAAGAAGUGGGAGCUGCAUCAGCUGACCUUUGCAAAAGCCUAACUUAGAGUUCGUUCAGAGAAAGUCACGSUCUCAAGGGAAGCCAAAUAAUUUUACGCGGUCAGUUACCAAUGAAGGGUUUCCUGAGGAGCAUACAGAAGAAGAUAGAUCUCAGGUGUCUGAGUCCUCUUGAGAUCCUCACUGGCAACAGUUGGUGCAGGGAAGCUGGACUGGGGAAGGAAUAUUGCUCUUCUGUCACAAGCUGGUCUGAGGGCUGCUCUGACCUGUGAAACAUAGAACUGGCAUUUGUGAAGCUGGUGCAUUGAUGGGAUCGCUGAGAGGGGAGCUGCUCUGACUGUCUCAGCUGAUACUCCAAUAAAUGCCAG
rnacentral:lncRNA from 1 species